AUUUUUGGCUAAGACUUUUGCCGUAUAUGUUUGGGAAUAGGGCCCGAACGUUUCUACCCGGCCACCGUAAAUGGCCGGACUACGGCGAAUAGGUCUUCGGGA
rnacentral:ncRNA from 2 species